CCCAGCAGUAAGCAACUGCCUAGACUGCAUUAUAGCUGGGAAAGUGUUGCACUGCUGGGAGAAAAGCAGAUAAGAGCUGGAGGGCAUU
rnacentral:snoRNA from 1 species